GUUCGGCCGUUCCCCAUUCCUCUUCCGCCGUCUCCCCAUUUUUUCUGUGGCAGCAGGUGCUCGAGGCGCAGGCGAAUUCUGGAUAGGGAUAAGGAGCAGGAGACGCAUCGUAGGUAGUCUCUGUUUGCUCCUUUUUCCUAUGUUUUUGUCCUUUGUUUGUUCCUUUGGCUUCACUGAUUUUAGCAGUAUGCAUCUAGGGUUCGUCCCCAAUGUCCCAAAAUGCCCCCAAAAUGUCCGCAGUUGUAGGUAGGGUUCAUUAGCAGCUCCACAUUUCUUUUUGGUUUCUUGUUUGUUUGUCCAUAGUUUUUAGGGGGGUCUUCAAGAUGCGAGGGGGAUUUUCAAGAUGGUAGUGGUGGGUGGGGAUGGGGUCGAGUUCGUGUCUAGAUGUUCAAUUAGAUGGUAGGAUUCCGUUCCUUUUUUUCAGCAAUAAGUUGAUUUUCAUCUAGUAUUUUUCUGUCCAAAUCGAUCGGAGAUCCAUGGGUUUGGUAAUUUUUGGGUCGCUAGGUUCGGCAGUGUGUAGCAGUGGUUUUUUUUCCAAUGGUUUGUUUGUCAGUUACUUUGUAUGUCUGAAUAUAAGUUACUAGUUACUAGUUUCGACAGUUUCGACAGUGUUAGCAUCUGUUUCAGACUAAAAUUCAUUUUUGCUAUCUAUGUCAGCCAGUAUAACUACUCACCUGCUACAUCUGUCAGUGUCAAUGGUUAUAUGAUACCUUUUUUCAAUGCUAUCUAUGUUAGUGUUUUUGUUCAGAAUGACCAAAAACGACUCACAACUGGGACCUAGGAGAUUAUUAGAUUAGGAUGUUAGUUCCUCUCACUAAGUUGUCUGCAAUUUCAGUUCCUGUUUACUCUCAUUUUUUUCUCUGAUUUAUUAAAUCAUGAAGUAAGCACUAUGGUACAGUAUGUUUAUGCCGUUCUACAUUUUUGUUUCCAUUUAGUUCAAGGAAAAGCGUAGUCUCCAUUUGUCUGCAUCUACUACAAGGAAGUAUAAUUAGUGUUUUGUUCUCAAACUUCUAGUGCAAACAGCAAUUUCUUAGCAUCUCCAAACAGAGGUGAAAGAUUUCUGAUUGUUUCGUCUCCCCGUUAUUGCAUUUCUUGGGGUGAGUAGUUUCCUGAAUUACUGUAGGUGUAGUAGGAAGUUCAUUUCCUAUAGUAUUUUAUGUUUCAGUAUAUGUGAUCAUUAUUUUCACUGCAAUUCAUUGUUUCUCUCGUUCCUAUUUCUUCAAGACUAAGUUCUCCUCACAUGAGGAUUUUGCUGCUUCAGUUUCAGUAGUUUCAUUGUUAAGUGCCAUUUUAUUAUUUCGCAAAACAAAGUGCCAUUUUAUUCAGUUUCGUCGGUAGUUUCAGUGUUAGGUGUUAUUUUUUUAGUUUCGUUAUUAGUUUCACUGUUAGGUGUCAUUUCCAGUCAUGUGCAUGUUUUCAGUGUGUCGUUUCUUCGUAGUUUUGUGAGAGUUUUCGGUCGUGUAGUUGAUUUACUCAUUUUUGUGUUUUGGCAGAUAGUCUUCAGUAUUGAGUUUGAUUAGAUAUUCAUUCCUUUUUUUUCAGUGCCCAUUUGAUUUACGACUAUUCUAGUUAUGAACUGAAAACUCUGAUACUUAUUUUUAGGUGUUCCAAUAUGGCAUUGCAGAUAGUCUUUAGGACUUUUAUAUUUUUCUUUUUCUAAGUUUUCAGCUUUCUACUUUUUGCUCUGUCGAUAUAUCCCUGUGAUGUUUUUCUUUGUUGUGCUGCUUCAGUUUGCUUACUCUGAAAACAUAUCUGUCCUGAUGAUUCUUCUGCUUUGUGCCAGCUUGUGUUUCCUUAUAUUUUUUGAUGUGUAGGAUGGUGUGCGCAAUCUGCCAUUCACAUUGUGAGAGUGAUAAUGAGCAGACUUUUCGCAUUGUCAUCUGUGAUGACUACGAAGCUUUAGCGAACAUCCCAUGCACUGCAAGGAAUAGGUUUAACCAGAUGUCUAGGUUGAACUUUAAGGCGAACGGCCGUAGGUAUGUUGUUAAUGUGUACAGGGGACACGAAGCCACACUGAUUGGAGGUGAUGAUUGGACCAAGUUCAAGCGCGACUUCAACGUGGGGCAGGGCAAUGUAGUUGUUUUUCACAUGACUGGACGAACAACAAAGGUAUAUGUGGCUUGAGUUGAGGCUGAAGAAGAGGGAGGAGCUAAUGAAGAAGUUGUUGCAGUUGAUGAAGAGGAAGAGGUUGUCAAUGAUGAUCACGGGCUUGAAGAUGCACUAGCGUUUGUGAACACCAGGGGUUUUGUCUUUGAGGAUGGCGAAUACGCAAUGAUGGAGCUCAUUCUCACUAUCCAACAUUUAUUCAUUGGCCCACCCUUUGUGCAUCGUCUGACGCCCACGAACAUUGCAGGCAAGCUGAUGAAAAUCCCCAAGAAGGUAGUUGAACCACUAAACUUGGACACAGAAGGUGUUCUUGGCCUUUGCAUGGGUGUGGGAGAUGUUAUGCAGGUUGUGUACCACACGGACCAUGACGGACGCGUCGUUUUCAACCAAGCAUGUGGUGUUUUUGUAGCCUAGAACCACCUCCAGGUGAAUGAUGUUGUUGUGUUCAACUUCAGGGAGAUCAAUGAAGAACAUAUCAACCUAGUAUGCGUCGUCAAUGCUUUGAUGCCGGCAGAAGCAUAAGGAUGGGGGAUUCAUGUCCAGAACCUUUUUCUAAUGGUGUGGCAGAAGGAAAAUGUUAGCAGUGCUACUGACAAUGUGCUAUCAUUUUUUACUUUUGUUGUUUAUGAGGUGCUUAUUAGAGAUGAAUUGUGAAGUUCCUAUCUUGUCCACUAUGAACUGGGAAUGAAAUGCAUGGUUUUUGAACUUA